rnacentral:RNase_P_RNA from 1 species
GGAUGGUCUGUUGCUUGCCUUUUGGCAAGAGGAAAGUCCGGGCAACAUAGAGCGUUAUACUUCCUAACGGGAAGCUGUUGGUGACAGCAGGUUAGCGUAACAGAAAACAACCGCCGUAACAGGUAAGGGUGAAAAGGCGAGGUAAGAGCUCACCGCUCUCUUGGUGACAAGAUGAGGCUGUACGUACUAUAUGUUGCAAGACCAAAUAUACCGACGCAUGUAGGGCUGCUCGUCCGAUGUCGGGGGGUAGGUUGCUUGAGGGUACUGGUGACAGUGCUCCUAGAUAAAUAACAGAUAUAACAGAACCCGGCUUACAAUCCUGCUGUU